rnacentral:rRNA from 1 species
UACGGAGGGUGCGAGCGUUAAUCGGAAUAACUGGGCGUAAAGGGCACGCAGGCGGGUUUUUAAGUGAGAUGUGAAAUCCCCGGGCUUAACCUUGGAAUAGCAUUUCAGACUGUGAGUCUGGAGUACUUUAGGGAGGGGUAGAAUUCCACGUGUAGCGGUGAAAUGCGUAGAGAUGUGGAGGAAUACCGAAGGCGAAGGCAGCCCCUUGGGAUUGUACUGACGCUCAGGUGCGAAAGCGUGGGGAGCAAACAGG